rnacentral:sRNA from 1 species
GUAGGGCAUGGUGGCGCAUUCCUGUAAUCCCAGUGGCUUGGGAGGCUGAGGCAGGAGGAUUGGGAGUUCAAAGUCAGCCUCAGCAAUUUAGCAAGGCCCUAAGCAACUCAGUGAGACCCUGUCUCUA